rnacentral:lncRNA from 1 species
AGUAGUUCGGCCCAGCAGGCCGAUGACUUAGUACGUAACAAGACGGCCGAAACGGCCAAUGAUGAGGUAGUAAAAUUUGCUGUUAAAACCGAUAUGAAAAAUAUGAUGAAAUCGGCUGGUACAGCCGAUAGUAAAUUGUCAAAUGAAAUGAAGGGGCGAACAACCGAAGUGAACUUAGAAGAGUCGCCUAUCAAAGUCG